rnacentral:rRNA from 1 species
GACGAACGCUGGCGGCGUGCUUAACACAUGCAAGUCGAACGGAGUGCCUCGGAAAGAGAUUUCGGUCAAUGGAAGGGGUAACUUAGUGGCGGACGGGUGAGUAACGCGUGAGGAACCUGCCUUUCAGAGGGGGACAACAGUUGGAAACGACUGCUAAUACCGCAUAACAUAUAGUUGUCGCAUGGCAAUUAUAUCAAAGAUUUAUCGCUGAGAGAUGGCCUCGCGUCUGAUUAGCUAGUUGGUAGGGUAACGGCCUACCAAGGCGACGAUCAGUAGCCGGACUGAGAGGUUGGCCGGCCACAUUGGGACUGAGAUACGGCCCAG